rnacentral:rRNA from 1 species
AUUGAACGCUGGCGGCAGGCCUAACACAUGCAAGUCGAACGCGUGGCGGCCGGGUGAGUAAUGUCUGGGAAACUGCCUGCUGGAGGGGGAUAACUACUGGAAACGGUAGCUAAUCCCGCAUACCAUCAGAUGUGCCCAGAUGGGAUUAGCUUGUUGGUGGGGUAACGGCUCACCAAGGCGACGAUCCCUAGCUGGUCUUAGAGGAUGACCAGCCAAACUGGAACUGAAACACGGUCCAGACUCCUACGGUAGGCAACAGUGGGGAAUAGUGCACAAUGGGCGCAAGCCUGAUGCAGCCAUGCCGCGUGUAUGAAGAAGGCCUUCGGGUUGUAAAGUAAUUUCAGCGGGGAGGCGUUACCCGCAGAAGAAGCACCGGCUAACUCCGUGCCAGCAGCCGCGGUAAUAC